rnacentral:rRNA from 1 species
CCUACGGGAGGCAGCAGUAGGGAAUAUUGCUCAAUGGGGGAAACCCUGAAGCAGCAACGCCGCGUGGAGGAUGAAGGUUCUCGGAUUGUAAACCCCCUUUGUUAGAGAAGAUAAUGACGGUACCUAACGAAUAAGCACCGGCUAACUCCGUGCCAGCAGCCGCGGGAAUACGGAGGGUGCAAGCGUUACUCGGAAUCACUGGGCGUAAAGGGCGCGUAGGCGGGAUAGCAAGUCAGAUGUGAAAUCCUAUGGCUUAACCAUAGAACUGCAGUUGAAACUGUUAGUCUAGAGUAUGGGAGAGGUAGGUGGAAUUCUUGGUGUAGGGGUGAAAUGCGUAGAGAUCAAGAGGAAUACUCAUUGCGAAGGCGAGCUGCUGGAACGUAACUGACGCUGAGGCGCGAAAGCGUGGGGAGCAAACAGGAUUAGAUACCCUAGUAGUC